rnacentral:rRNA from 1 species
UGGUGCCAGCAGCCGCGGUAAUUCCAGCUCCAGUAGCGUAUAUUAAAGCUGUUGCGGUUAAAAAGCUCGUAGUUGGAUAUCAGUGCGUGUCCGGUCCGGUAUGCCUAGCGGCGGCGCUCGCGCGUCACUGCUGGGCUCCCAAAUAUCGGCUGGCCGCAUUCAAUCGUGCCGGAUCCGUCGACGGGCCGUUCUUCGGAGGGGCCUGUUGGCGACCGGCGACGUUACCUUGAACAAAUUAGAGUGCUCAAAGCAGGCUCUGAAUGCCUGUAUACAUAUUCAUGGAAUUGGAGAAUACGUCCCUGGCUCGAUUUGGUUGGUUUUGAGAGUCGAAGGGAAAUGAUUAAUAGGGACUGACGGAGGCAUUCGUAUUGCGACGCGAGGGGUGAAAUCCUGUGACCGUCGCACGACGAACUACUGCGAAAGCAUUUGCCGAGAAUGUUUUCAUUAGUCAAGAACGAAA